rnacentral:rRNA from 1 species
GACGAACGCUGGCGGCGUGCUUAACACAUGCAAGUCGAACGGAAAGGCCCUGCUCUUGUUGGGUGCUCGAGUGGCGAACGGGUGAGUAACACGUGAGUAACCUGCCCUUGACUUUGGGAUAACUUCAGGAAACUGGGGCUAAUACCGGAUAGGAGCUCCUGCUGCAUGGUGGGGGUUGGAAAGGUUCGGCGGUUGGGGAUGGACUCGCGGCUUAUCAGCUUGUUGGUGGGGUAGUGGCUUACCAAGGCUUUGACGGGUAGCCGGCCUGAGAGGGUGACCGGCCACAUUGGGACUGAGAUACGGCCCAGACGCCUACGGGAGGCAGCAGUGGGGAAUAUUGCACAAUGGGCGGAAGCCUGAUGCAGCAACGCCGCGUGCGGGAUGACGGCCUUCGGGUUGUAAACCGCUUUCGCCUGUGACGAAGCGUGAGUGACGGUAAUGGGUAAAGAAGCACCGGCUAACUACGUG